rnacentral:rRNA from 1 species
CUACGGGUGGCUGCAGUGGGGAAUAUUGGACAAUGGGCGAAAGCCUGAUCCAGCCAUGCCGCGUGUGUGAAGAAGGCCUUCGGGUUGUAAAGCACUUUCAGUGGGGAAGAAAGCCUUGGGGCUAAUACCCUCGAGGAAGGACAUCACCCACAGAAGAAGCACCGGCUAACUCCGUGCCAGCAGCCGCGGUAAUACGGAGGGUGCGAGCGUUAAUCGGAAUUACUGGGCGUAAAGCGCGCGUAGGCGGUCUGAUAAGCCGGUUGUGAAAGCCCCGGGCUCAACCUGGGAACGGCAUCCGGAACUGUCAGGCUAGAGUGAAGGAGAGGAAGGUAGAAUUCCCGGUGUAGCGGUGAAAUGCGUAGAGAUCGGGAGGAAUACCAGUGGCGAAGGCGGCCUUCUGGACUGACACUGACGCUGAGGUGCGAAAGCGUGGGUAGCAAACAGGAUUAGAUACCCGUGUAGUC